CGUGAGUGAAGAAGGCUUUCGGGUCGUAAAGCUCUGUCAAGUGGGAAAAAAGUCUGAUGAUUAAUAGUUGUCAGAUCUGAUGGUACCGCUGGAGGAAGCACCGGCUAACUCCGUGCCAGCAGCCGCGGUAAUACGGAGGGUGCAAGCGUUGUUCGGAAUUACUGGGCGUAAAGGGCGUGCAGGCGGGUUGGUAAGUCAGAUGUGAAAGCCCUGGGCUCAACCCAGGAAGUGCAUUUGAAACUGCCAUCCUUGAGUAUGGGAGAGGAGAGUGGAAUUCCCAAUGUAGAGGUGAAAUUCGUAGAUAUUGGGAGGAACACCCGUGGCGAAGGCGACUCUCUGGACCAAUACUGACGCUGAGACGCGAAAGCGUGGGGAGCAAACAGGAUUAGAUACCCUGGUAGUCCACGCUGUAAACGAUGAGAACUAGGUGUAGCGGGUAUUGACCCCUGCUGUGCCGAAGUUAACGCAUUAA
rnacentral:rRNA from 1 species